CCUACGGGAGGCAGCAGUGAGGAAUAUUGGUCAAUGGACGAGAGUCUGAACCAGCCAAGUAGCGUGAAGGAUGACUGCCCUAUGGGUUGUAAACUUCUUUUAUAAAGGAAUAAAACGAGGCACGUGUGCCUUUUUGCAUGUACUUUAUGAAUAAGGAUCGGCUAACUCCGUGCCAGCAGCCGCGGUAAUACGGAGGAUCCGAGCGUUAUCCGGAUUUAUUGGGUUUAAAGGGAGCGUAGUUGGGUUGUUAAGUCAGUUGUGAAAGUUUGCGACUCAACCGUAAAAUUGCAAUUGAUACUGGUAGUCUUGAGUACAGUUGAGGUAGGCGGAAUUCGUGGUGUAGCGGUGAAAUGCUUAGAUAUCACGAAGAACCCCGAUUGCGAAGGCAGCUUACUAAACUGUGACUGACAUUGAUGCUCGAAAGUGUGGGUAUCAAACAGGAUUAGAUACCCCAGUAGUC
rnacentral:rRNA from 1 species